UCAGCAGCCGCGGUAAUACGUAGGUGGCAAGCGUUGUCCGGAAUUAUUGGGCGUAAAGCGCGCGCAGGCGGGAUAUUAAGUCUGUUUUAAAAGUUCGGGGCUCAACCCCGUGAUGGAAUGGAAACUAAUAUUCUUGAGUGCAGGAGAGGAAAGUGGAAUUCCCAGUGUAGCGGUGAAAUGCGUAGAUAUUGGGAGGAACACCAGUGGCGAAGGCGACUUUCUGGACUGUGUCUGACGCUGAGGCGCGAAAGCCAGGGGAGUGAACGGGAUUAGAUACCCCGGUAAUCCUGGCCGUAAACGAUGGGUACUAGGUGUAGGAGGUAUCGACCCCUUCUGUGCCGGAGUUAACGCAAUAAGUACCCCGCCUGGGGAGUACGGCCGCAAGGUUGAAACUCAAAGGAAUUGACGGGGGCCCGCACAAGCGGUGGAGUAUGUGGUUUAAUUCGACGCAACGCGAAGAACCUUACCAGGACUUGACAUCGAUUGAAAGUUCUAGAGAUAGAACCCUUCCCUUCGGGGAACAAGAAGACAGGUGGUGCAUGGCUGUCGUCAGCUCGUGUCGUGAGAUGUUGGGUUAAGUCCCGCAACGAGCGCAACCCUUAUCCUAUGUUGCCAGCGAGUAAAGUCGGGAACUCAUGGGAGACUGCCGCAGACAAUGCGGAGGAAGGCGGGGAUGACGUCAAGUCAUCAUGCCCCUUAUGUCCUGNGCUACACACGUACUACAAUGGGCUUAAAUAGAGGGAAGCGAAGCCG
rnacentral:rRNA from 1 species